GAUGAACGCUGGCGGCGUGCCUAAUACAUGCAAGUCGAGCGAACAGACGAGGAGCUUGCUCCUUUGACGUUAGCGGCGGACGGGUGAGUAACACGUGGAUAACCUACCUAUAAGACUGGGAUAACUUCGGGAAACCGGAGCUAAUACCGGAUAACAUGUUGAACCGCAUGGUUCAACAGUGAAAGACGGUCUUGCUGUCACUUAUAGAUGGAUCCGCGCCGCAUUAGCUAGUUGGUAAGGUAACGGCUUACCAAGGCAACGAUGCGUAGCCGACCUGAGAGGGUGAUCGGCCACACUGGAACUGAGACACGGUCCAGACUCCUACGGGAGGCAGCAGUAGGGAAUCUUCCGCAAUGGGCGAAAGCCUGACGGAGCAACGCCGCGUGAGCGAAGAAGGUCUUCGGAUCGUAAAACUCUGUUAUUAGGGAAGAACAAAUGUGUAAGUAACUAUGCACGUCUUGACGGUACCUAAUCAGAAAGCCACGGCUAACUACGUG
rnacentral:rRNA from 1 species